GACCAUCUUACAAAUUUUAGUCAUAAAAAUUUACAGACCGAAGGAAAAAAGAAAAUAUAGACUCGAAAAAAGACUCAUAGACUCCAACAGAAAGAAGAAAAUAUAGACUCAAAAACAUACUAACAGACUCCAAUGAAAAUCAUGAAUACAUCAAUUCCUCAACUGCUCUUGGGGCGCGGGGGACACCAUUUAGUCUCACCACAGGCCUACGCGCCAAAUUCCCUUGGAGAUGAUAGAGAUCUUCCAUUAUCUGGCUGACAAAGGUCAUCACAGUGGUGAAGAACAUGGAUCUAGUCAUGUCAACACACUCAUUGCAUUUCGUUGUGAUAUAGUCGGCGAUCCUUCUGACCGUUUCUCUCAUGACGCCAUUUUCUUGCAACAAACACCCAAUUUGUUGGGCCCUAGCUUCCAAAGUUUGUUUAUCUAUAUGCUUCUGUUCUUCAAGUUGUUGCAGAUGUCUUUCUAACUAUGCCGUCGCUGCAUAAUAGUGUUCUCUUUCUGCAUUAAAGUCAUUUUACUGCUUGAUCAUCUUGUUCUCAAAGGUGGUGACGCUUCUCUUCAACCCGACAAACUCAUUGUCAUAUUUCUCUUUUAAUUGUUUAACCAAGCGUGCUCGUUCCUCCGCAUUCUUAGCCAAUUUUGUUUGAAGAGUUGCUAGUUCACCUUCUGCCUUGUUCAAAUCCAAAUCAUACUCACUCACCUUCCGCCUAAGGUUAUCUAUCAACUUUCAUCUUUUACACUUCUAUCGAAAUUUUCUACCGCUAUCUUCAUUUCCUGAAUUUGGGCUCGAAGGACAUCAUUUUCCUUGGCUAGCUUUUUCUUCUUACCCUCAUCCGCGGCGGCUUGCAGACCAUUCUCAAAUUGAAGAUCCUUCACCUGGUUUUCCAUCUUGCUUAUGGUAGCCCUAUACUCAUUUUCUUUGGCCAACCAAUCCCGUUGCUCUUGUGAUGCCUUGAUAAAUUCUGGAAGAUGGGGUCUUUUGGCCAACCUUCUAAACUCAACUUCCCUUUUAUACCUAGCAAUGUACCCUGGUGAAACUUCACCUGCGGAUAAAUCCCGCACUUUGGUGCUUGCUGCCAAGUAUUGACACUCGCUUUAGAUCUUGCGAACUGUUGCUUCAUGAAAUUGACUGUGAGAACUAAUCUCGACUACCUGAGCACUAAGGUCUUCAUCCUUUGGAACUAUUUGACAUCUCCCCAGCUGUCUCAAAACCCGGUAUGGGGCAUAAGGCUUGAUACUUCUGAGACCCAUCAGGAGGAAGUGAGGCCCGUAGCUGGCAUAUCUAUGAUUUCAUCUAUAGGAAGCCAC
rnacentral:lncRNA from 1 species